UCAUUUUUGUGAUCUGCAGCU
rnacentral:miRNA from 2 species